rnacentral:rRNA from 1 species
UACGAAGGGGGCUAGCGUUGCUCGGAAUCACUGGGCGUAAAGGGUGCGUAGGCGGGUCUUUUAAGUCAGGGGUGAAAUCCUGGAGCUCAACUCCAGAACUGCCUUUGAUACUGAAGAUCUUGAGUUCGGGAGAGGUGAGUGGAACUGCGAGUGUAGAGGUGAAAUUCGUAGAUAUUCGCAAGAACACCAGUGGCGAAGGCGGCUCACUGGCCCGAUACUGACGCUGAGGCACGAAAAGCGUGGGGAGC